UGGCAAUAGUGUGGACAGUAUCUUGAGCUA
rnacentral:piRNA from 1 species